ACUAGAUUUACCUACUAGAAUAACCACCAUGGCUGCACCCUGCGCUGAAAACAAUCAAAAAUAAGGCACACUGGAAUUUGCUCUGGACGUCCCGUUCCCAUCAACUCGCGAAGCGUCCAUCGCGCUCCAGUCCGUCUCCCCAGACCGCGAGCCCCGGAAAGGAGGCAUCAGCAAGGAGCUCACGGUUUCCGGUAGCACGCUGUCUGUGUACUAUCACCUAGUGUAAUCAAUGGUGUAAGAGUAUGGAGGUACUACUGUAGGUCAUGUGAAUUCCUCCGUCAUCUCUUCUUUCAUCAUCUCGUCUCUUCCAUACCCCAUAUGGAGGUGGAGGGCAGAUGAGGCCCAUAUCCUGCAUGUCACUGUAGGGUCGUUUAUGAACCACCUGUCCCUGGUGAUGGAAACCAUGGAGUUGUUCGGACCACCUGUCCCUGGUGAUGGAAACCAUGGAGUUGUUCGGACCACCUGUCCCUCAGUGACCACUUACACGCUCAGCAGUCUCUGUUCUGCAAUGACCUGCAGAGAACCAAGAGGAGCAGUGUUAUGCUGAACAGAGGGGUCUCUGUGGCCGACAGACCCAGCAGAAGCAUGCUGUGCACCUCGGUACAGAGCGACAUGUCCCACUUUCAAUCCUCUGCUAUUCAAAUUGAAGGAACUGGAUUCUCUUACACCAAUGCAACAUUUCUGUAGUUGUUGAAUUAGAAUGUGAUUUAGAGCAGUGGGCCUGCAGGUCUAAGACAAAAAAAGAAAAGACAACUGACAUUUCCAUAAAGUAAACAUUUAUGUUUUACAGUGAAGAGAUUUGCAACAAAAGAUGACAGUUGAAGGAGUUGUGCAAAAAUGUUCACGUAGAUAGAUGACUAAGUAUUUUUGCUCAUUGGUUGUUGGCAUGAAUGAGUCAAUUCAUUUGUUACUAGAACACACAGCAACACUAGUGGAUGGUGUAGAAUAGGAAGGCAGAGUUAAGACAAUGGAAUAGAAAAAAACUAGGAGAGUGAUCAGUAGGACCAAAGAGGGGCACGGCACACUGUUAGGGCAGAGGACAUGGGGUCCAGUCCCAAACCCUCCCCUCUUUCCCGAGACACUUCUAGAUCGCCUCCUGUUAGACCUGAGAAGUAGUGCAAGCAAUAUGACCAACUACCAUUUCACUAGAACCACACUGCUUACACAAAACAGAUCAUUUUUGAUCUAUUAGGGGCCUUGAGGGGGCUAGGGUUUAAACUUGAGACAGGCCCAUAGUGACUGCUCAUCUCACGUCUUCAUUCCAUAAAAUGUAUGACCAGCCUCUACAGGGAUACAGUUGUGUAGUAUGGAUAACAAGAUAAGAAAUGUACUUCACUAACCAGUAUAAAAGAACAGAACCGAUGUUGCUGUUGGGUCGCGAGAAUGUCAGUGCACACCGUCGUAUUCUGACUGCACACAGUUACCUUCACUGCAUCUGGUUAGUUUAGCACCCUCUACACAACUGUUUAAAAACAGAAACUUAUCAAAUACAACAGAUUCAAAUUGACAUUUUUCUAAGGGUCUAGGGGUUGACAGGUUGGCAACAUAAGGACUGGUGAAA